rnacentral:rRNA from 1 species
UCUAAGGAAGUUGUGGCUCUCCCCGAGCUGGAUGCCAUCGUCGGUAAUAGUUCCGAGUUAUUUCAGAUCCGCAAGGUGCUCAUCCGACCGACCCCUGGUGACCAGCUCGUCGUUAUCAUGACCAGCAAUUGGAACUAUCCGAUCAUAUUAAUCCGACCGGGAAAGGGCGCGUGGUUACCGAGGCCACAAGCAACCCCCUUCAUCAACAUUAUUGAUAUCGUGCUCCUAGGAAACAGGCUCUACGGGAUCACCCAGGCAGAGGACCUCUUCUCCUUGAAUAUAAGCUUUAAUGCUGAUGGCAUACCCAUAGUCACCAAUAUCAAGCACCACAUCAGAUCGGGCGAUACUGAUUCCAUUGUGGAGAGCGACUUAGAUGAGGACCAACACCAUUAUUGUGAGAACGAAGAGGAUCAGCUUCAGGGCAACUUGUAUGAAUUGAGGACAAUCGGAGACAACAUGAUCAAUAAUGGCAUCCUGUGGGAUGAGAUGCCUUAUGCUCCCAAUGAUCACCUCGCCACAUUUUGGUACUUACUUGAGUCGGGUGGGAAGCUAAUCAUGGUGAAGCGUCAAUUGCAAUUUCCAUGUUGUUAUGUCAAAUUCACUCGUAAGUUGGAGGCUUUUGAGGCAGAUUUCAGCGCACGCACAUGGUUGCCGGUGUCAGGUGGCUUAGGUGACCAAGCAUUUUUCGUCAGCAAAUGCUUCAGCAAGUCUGUUUCUGCUUUUGGAGAGAGAGAGGGAGGAUGCUAUUUAUUUAUUGAUACAGGUGAGGUGUUCAACAUAAAAUCCAAAACUCAAAGCCGGCCAGUAGAAAGAAGCGUCGAUUCCCGUUGGUCAACAUGGAUCUUCCCUCCAAGCUAG